CGACGGUGUCCACCGGCAGGGACCACCUCGGGUCGAUGGCGACCCAGGGGAGGCCAUCCAGAUGAACUGUGACAUGCCUGCUGCUCGAGUUCGCGCAUUUUGAUUUUUCUGGGAUUAGCGUGUUGAGCGUACGAUGAAAACUUUUGCCGCUGCAUCGCCUGAAGGAGAGCCGCUGCUUUGAUGGCACGAGCGCCCGGCGGCCAUCAUUAGGAGAUGCGCCAACUGCUGCUCUAACCAGAUGAGCGUGCCACUUCCGUCACAAGGAGGAGAGCUAGGCAGGAGCUUGGUGGCCAUCACUAGGAGGAGCGCCAAUUUCUCCUCCAACGUGACGAGCGUGCCAUCACCCACUCAAGGAUGAGUGCCUGGCUAUCGUCCUCGCAUCAACAAGGCUGCGUGCACUCAGUUACAGGUCCAGGUUCUUCCCUCUCCCUACUGACACUUCUGAUCCCCUUUUUUCUGCAUCUUAUUCCAAUGGAGACGGCUGCGACACAGGGGCGAAGGAGAAUGCCCUUUUUGCAAAUAGAAGUUCUCCUUCUGUCAUGGUAGGUUGCCUCAUUGUUUUGGUGAAAAUUGAGUUCGUUGGGAAAUGUUAUUAGCGCUUAAUUGACUCCUAUCACGCAAAAAUUAAUUGUCAGUUUGCAUUUGAAGUAAUAUUCUUGCGAGACCACGAAAGCAGAGAUAAUGGCGACUACUUUGGUCUAGGGACAACCUAGAAAACAACACUUUUUAUUCUGAAAUGAACUCUCAAGCCGUAAAGUACGGCAUCCUUUAUCCAGCAGAGGAGGGUGAGAGUGAGCACAGAAAUUUCGUUGCCUCUUGGUCUGAUGAUCCGUCAGCUCCUUUUAUUUAUUAGCAGUGAUGGAGCCACCUCCCUGCAACCCCGGGCAGCACCUGGGCUCAUCUGGCAAGCAUCCGUUUAGAGCAGUGUUAUUCCUAGCGUUUAAUGACAACGGUUGUUUCGGCAAACUUUCACUAGCGCAUCAGCAGUUAAGGUCUGCCCCGGCUUCCAUGACUGGCACGCUACGCCACUGAGGUGAGUGAAACUUGGAUCCCAUGUUCUACAUUCGAAUUAUUUCAUGUUGCUCAGAGUAAUCUUACAUGACAGUGCAUUGCUGCUUAACUAAUGCACUAUGAAUUGUGUGUGUUGAUGUGCGGUCACUUUUAUCUAUUGGAAUUUUGAUUCCACUAAGGACUGCAGGUGAGUGAAACUUUGAUGUCACUAACCCUAACAUUUUGUUUGCAGACAUUUGUAUGUACUAACUAUAACUAAGCUAGGUCUAUUUAAUUUUGUAGGGGGCAUAAUUUAUUUCAAAAGUUAACGAGACAUUGAUGGAUUUGUAAUCUUAUUCUUAGGUUUAUCUACAAUGAGGAAAAGAUAAACAAAUCGUCUUUCCUCCUUCUCCCAUUCUGAGAAAGUUAUGAAAAUUGAUGCAAUUGUAUAAUAUCUACUCUUCACUAUUUUGGGGCGAAUAUGCAAUAAAAACUCUCAGUUACUCAUACCAUAGUACUAUUUUCAUUUUUAGAUGAAUACUGAUAUGCCCAACUGUGUUCUGAUAGAUAUUUGCAGAAUUCACCGAAGCAGAGAGUUGGAGUAAAAAUGAUGGUUAAAAGUUAACGAGACAUUGAUGGAUUUGUAAUCUUAUUCUUAGGUUUAUCUACAAUGAGGAAAAGAUAAAAAAAUCGUCUUUCCUCCUCCCAUUCUGAGAAAGUUAUGAAAAAUGAUGCAAUUGUAUAAUAUCUACUCUUCACUAUUUUGGGGCGAAUAUGCAAUAAAAACUCUCUGUUACUCAUACCAUAGUACUAUUUUCCUUUUUAGAUGAAUACUGAUAUGCCCAACUGUGUUCUGAUAGAUAUUUGCAGAAUUCACCGAAGCAGAGUCGGAGUAAAAAUGAUGGUUGUUGAAUGUACUGAUUGACCUUGAAGCUCUGUGGAGCACCGCCAACCCCUAAUGUUUUUUUUGGGUAAGGCUACUAAGCUUUCAUGUUUGUAAAUAACAAAUGUUGUAAUGUACUAAUUAACUUCAUGUCUAAAUUUAUCAUGUAUAUAAGAGAGAGAAAAAACCAGGCGAGUGACAUUUUUCACUAAGUUUCAGAAUAUAGCCACUGUUGGCAACAAUGUAGUAUUUUUAUAGAUUGAAGUUCAGCUAGAUGUCCAAUUGGUCCUUAAUUUACAUUCCCUAUCCUCCAUCUGUUAGCAAGUACUUGGUAUUUAUAGCCUUUCACUUUGCUCAGAUCGUAUGCUCUUCUUCACUGUAGUGGGAGAAAUGCAAUUCUUAGGUAAACUGCGAUGCUGAAUACAUUGUUAUUAGUCAUCAAUAAAUAUACCAAGAUAUGCAUUUUUUGUAUCAUUUCAUUAUCAUUGCAAUGACACUGUCAGAUCCAUCCUUCCCCGCACACUUGCAGAGACAUCUUCCAAGUACAUACACCAUUUCAAUGUCCAAACUCAUAUUUUUUGCGUUUAUUUUGCUAAAAUCUUCUUGAUUCUGAGCACUGGUACUAGAAAGCAUAAUCCAGUUUAGUGUAAGUUUCUACUAUUUCGAAGUAAUUUAAUCCCAUGAAUUCGAGUAAUGUGGAUAUCAUGCUGAUGUUACCACAUAAUUCCCAGUUUAGCACAGGAGGUAACCUGACUUGUUGUUCUCAUUUUUGUGUGCACAAAGAAUCACGUUGCAGAUUAGGAAGUCUCGCUCUUAUUUACGGCAGCGGUGAUAGCAUAGAACUUCUCUGCGAAACCUGAGCAAACUUCCCUUAGUUUGUGCCUCUUGGUUUUCCUAAUUCUGUUUUGUUCUUUCUGACUUAUAACUGAACUAGAGGACUUGAAUUGGUCAGAGGCAGAGCAUGAAGGUGAUGAUACAGAAGUUGCACGGCCAAUAAGUUCCAACCUACAUCUGCAGUGGGACCUUCCAAUCUUCAAUAUAGAUCUUCUUUCAAGUGAUUGGUUGUUCUGAAUUAUGUCAGCUGAGCUCUUGUGCAAAAUGCAAGUGCAAUAAGUUAAUGCCCCACAUGAUCUGUAGAUGUAGUCAUAUUUUUGGACGUCCAGAAUAGUUCCCUUUGCUCAGAUGAGAGAAGAGCAGUCUGAGAGAAAGAAAAAAACUAAGCGGACUCACAUUUUUUAUGAAACAUUGUAGUUCUUUCUUUCACCAAACCAUUGUACACUGUUGAAAGCAUAUAUACAUCUCAGUUUUAAGUUGUAAAAUAGAUGCAAUCUAGCAA